rnacentral:rRNA from 1 species
AACGAACGCUGGCGGCGUGCUUAACACAUGCAAGUCGAACGGUAAGGCCCUUCGGGGUACACGAGUGGCGAACUGGUGAGUAACACGUGGGUGAUCUGCCCUGCACUUCGGGAUAAGCCUGGGAAACUGGGUCUAAUACCGGAUAGGACCACUGCCUGCAUGGGUGGUGGUGGAAAGCUUUUGUGGUGUGGGAUGGGCCCGCGGCCUAUCAGCUUGUUGGUGGGGUGAUGGCCUACCAAGGCGACGACGGGUAGCCGGCCUGAGAGGGUGACCGGCCACACUGGGACUGAGAUACGGCCCAGACUCCUACGGGAGGCAGCAGUGGGGAAUAUUGCACAAUGGGCGCAAGCCUGAUGCAGCGACGCCGCAUGAGGGAUGACGGCCUUCGGGUUGUAAACCUCCUUCAGCACCGACGAAGCGCAAGUGACGGUAGGUGCAGAAGAAGGACCGGCCAACUACGUGCCAGCCGCCGCGGUAACAC